rnacentral:lncRNA from 1 species
UCACAAACCAAAUGUGGCACCUGGGUCUUGAGGUUUAGGUUCACUCUCUGUGGCAGGAUUGGAUGUAAACUUCCAACAGAGCCAAUAUCUGUGACUCUGAAGCAUGCUCCAGCAGCUCACAGUCAGGGGUCCAAGUUUUUCUCUGUUAUUAUGACCCUAGGGAGAAGGCCACAGCACUAGCUCAGCUUCAGGGAAGAAGAGAGGAUCUGGAGGUUUGGGCCUGGGGAGCAGGGUACAGCUGCAAUCAGGGAACCAGAGUCAAAAAAUGUCCCAGGAGAUAAGGCACCAUCUAGUGGUGAUUCUAGACCCUGGGACAGUGGGACUGAAAAGUAUCCCAGACUCUGUGAAAGCAGGAGCAGCAGCAGCAAGGACUCCAGAACAGCGGACUGCAGCUGUCAUUUAGACCCUGGGCGAAGGUGAGCAGCACAGUGAUGAUUCCACUCCCUAAGUGGUGCUAAGAGAAGUUUCUUAGCACCUCAGUCCCUAGAGGGCUAGGCUAGUCCUGUUCCAAGAAAGCAGGAUAUGAGAGUUUUUUGGCCUGCAAGGGUUGGUGUCUCAGCUUAGCCACUGCUCUGUUUCCCUGAGAUGCAGGGUACUAUAGCAGCCCUGUCCAGGGAUUCACAACUGUCCAAUUCACUAAUUUCUUAGGGAUCAACGUGCCAUUUCAGCUCAGGCCUGGGGAAGCGUGACUGCUCUGGCCCAGCAACGUACAAUUUUCCCAGGAGACAGGCUACCAAUGUAGCACAGGCACAGGGGGCAUGACUGCUCUGGGUUGCCAAGGCACCAUUUCCCCUGAUUGUCAGGUGUUGCUUCAGCUCUGGCACAUGAGGGCAGGGCACAGAAGCUACUGAGAAGCGACUCUGCCCCAAGGCACCAUUUCCCCAGGAGACAGUGUACAGCUUCAAUUCCAGCUUAAGAGGAUGGGACAUAGCUGCCACUGGGAGGGGUAGGUGGAGCAGCUCUACUGCCCACUUGGCCCCCACAGGGAAGGGUGUAACAACUGCUCAUAGAUCAGCUUAAGAAUGUCUGGACACAGGAAAAGGGUGAUUCUGUGGCAGCUUAGACUCAGGGAUGAAAGGGUGCCCUGGCUACUCACCCCUGGAGCAGAACAUACUCCAGCAGUAGUUCAAUUUCCAAAAUAGUAUAUAGUGCAGUAGGCACAUGGACCACAGGGGGCAGGGCACAGUGUUGGCUCCUUCGUUAGCAGGAGUACAGCCACGUGGAUUCCAGGCAGCUUCUUUAGCUGGGCUUAGUGCCUGUGAGGACUACAGGCGUCUCCAGUGGUCAGGACUAUAGUUGUCCAAGGUGCAGAUGGGGGAUGCUCAAUUCCUCAUGCUUACCUUUGUGCUGAAGGGCGAUAUUCCUCCUGGUUGCCAGCUGAUCUGGGCUUGAGGAUGGGGUUGUAGAGGUCUGGUGUUUCCAUUCAUUCUCUAUGCGGCUAUUCUGAGCUUCUGUGCUCACCAAGGUUUCUGUGACUUCUUUGAUGUACUCUGGUGCUCUCCUUUAGUGAUUUUCAUCAAAAUGUACCUGUUUAUUUGUUGUUUUGGCUUUAUUUGCCAGGGAGGGGGCAUUGGGGUCACAAGCAUUAGGGGAUUUUACUGGGCCAUCUUGCUGAUGUCAUCCUUCCUGAAUUUUUAAAUGUGGUUCUAGGACCUUCUGAUGCUGAGGAGGGUCAACCUUAAUUUCAUAGUCAUACUUUAGAGAUGGAGGGUAUUUGGUAAUAAAAUGAUCUCCAAUUAGUGUAAUGAAAGGUCAUGACCAAAGCAUCGGUGGAAAACAGCACAAGAUAUGGGGUAGGAAACUACAUGGCAUCACACCCAACAGAACACAGCCUGCCCUCUGCACACAGCAGUGCACCUCAGACUAGUUUUCAACUCUGACCAGGUGCGGCUGACUCUAAAGCCUACAGGCAUUCAGGAAGCCAGAUUUCACAACUUUCCCCUUGAACAUAGCAGUACAGUCCAAUCUAACUUUUAACUCUAACCAUGGCCAUGUCUGACUCUCAGAAUUCACAGACUUCCAAUAGUGACCCAAAGGCAUCGUGGGAGGUCAUGUUUUGUAGUGAUCGAGUGGCAGGCACCAGAGUCAGAUUGCUUAAAUUAGAAUCUGGAGACAGCCUCUUAGCAGCUACCACGUGACCUUGCGCACAUUCCCUCAGGAUUCCAAGCUUCAUUUUGCACAUUUUAUUACAGUAUGGAUAACAACACCUACCUCUUGGGGUUGUUAUAAAAGACAAAGUUGGAAAAUUCAUGCAUUCGGCAACUGUUUUAUGGGUAUCAACUAUGCUCCAAGUACUCUCUCAAAUUCUGAACAGUGGUUUGCAAAGCAGACAUGACCCAUUUCCACAGGGUCUGGUACACAGUAUGCAUCCACUAAUUCUGAGACCAAAAAGGACUUUCUCAGGAGACAUAUUCCUCUCUUUCUGACUAACCCACAUCACAUUAUGGAUUACCUCUAGGAAGCAGAGGGAAAGAGAAGGGGCGAGGAGGAAUGAUAUAUGCCUGGGUAGAAGAAAGGAGUCCCCCAGAGCACAACCUUUAAGAAGAGCCAAAAUCACUAUCAAGGAAGAACUGAAGCCUCAGUCAUGUGAAGGCCCAGAAGAGAAGGUGAGAAUGGAAAUGGGAGUAACUAGGCUGAUAAUUGCUAGAGGCAAAACAAAGGCUAAUGAGUUGGAACUAAGGUUACUGACAUUUUUUAUUAUAGAUUACGCUCAGCAAUAAUGAUGGCAGGUUAAAGGAAAACUUAUAGAAUAAUUUAUUUUAAACACCUUGCAGCAAGGAAUUUUGUCUUUUACUUUUUGUAAUACUACCAAGUACUAAAAGCAUCCUUAAAUUAAUAAUGGCCACAAUGAUAAUCAUAAUGGGAACUGCCUUUCAUUUAGGAUUUAUAAUGUACUAAGCCCUGUAAUAAAUGUUUCACAAAUCUCAUUUGGUCUUUACCACAACCUUUUGGUAAGCAUAUAUUUUCACCUUUUAAAAAAAUUCAUUUCAAAAAAAAGAAAAGGAUUCUCACACAUUUUAACUAAAACACACAAAGUCACUUAGCUAAUUUGUAGUGAAGAUGAGAUUCAAAUUCAGGUCCAUGCUCCUACACAACACUGCAUCUGUAAGGAGUAUAGGUGAGACAGGGUUGGUUAAGAACCAACUUAACCUCUCUAGACCUUAGUCUGUGUAUAAAAUGAAUCUAAAUUGAAUCUAACCUAUGGAGUUAUUCUGAAUAUUCAAUGAGCUAAUUCAUGUAAAGCAUUUAUUGUAGUGUUUGAUGCAUAAUAAGUGCUAUAAAUAGUAUCUAUUACUAUUAUAAGGCAUACCAUUCUGGCUUCCAAAUGUUUGCUCUUUAAAUCAAUAUCUGCAUCUUUUGUCAUAAAUAUUGAUACUAGCUCAAUUUAGAUAAUAAAAACACUAUAAAAAGAAAUUACAACCUGAUCAUGAUGGUAGAAACUUUCAUACUCACUUUUACCUUGAAGAUAAUUAAUUCAAUGAAAUUUAGUCAUGUAAGAAACCACUGCUCAAAACCACCAACAUAUUUAAAUGUGUCAAUUUUAUCCCUGUAUUUACGAAUCAGCUUCCUGAUCAAUAUGAAAGCCACCUCAAACAUGUCUAGUGCUCCACACUUUUUAAAGGUCAUUCACAGGCAUCAUCUUAUUUGAACCUGAUGACCACUGUGGGAGUAGGUUAAGCUAGUACCAUUUUUAUCACAAAGGAAACUACACCCUUAAAACAAGAAACUUGAAACAGAGAGUAUGUUAAAUAGACGAUCUGAUAUUAACUCCAGAUCUCUCAGCUCCUCAUCUGCUCUUCACACCAGACUUCAGAUUUGAAAUUGAAAAGAACAUUGCUGUCCUAUUUGCAACCAAUGAAAACAAGGAAAUGGCACAGUUGUAUACAUGCAGGUGGU